AGUUUGAUCCUGGCUCAGGAUAAAACGCUGGCGGCGCACAUAAGACAUGCAAGUCGAACGGACUUAACUCAUUCUUUUAGAUUGAGAGCGGUUAGUGGCGGACUGGUGAGUAACACGUAAGCAACCUGCCUAUCAGAGGGGAAUAACAGUGAGAAAUCAUUGCUAAUACCGCAUAUGCUCACAGUAUCACAUGAUACAGUGAGGAAAGGAGUAAUCCGCUGAUAGAUGGGCUUGCGUCUGAUUAGUUAGUUGGUGGGGUAACGGCCUACCAAGACUACGAUCAGUAGCCGGACUGAGAGGUUGAACGGCCACAUUGGGACUGAGAUACGGCCCAGACUCCUACGGGAGGCAGCAGUCGGGAAUAUUGCGCAAUGGAGGAAACUCUGACGCAGUGACGCCGCGUAUAGGAAGAAGGUUUUCGGAUUGUAAACUAUUGUCAUUAGGGAAGAUAAAAGACUGUACCUAAGGAGGAAGCCCCGGCUAACUAUGUG
rnacentral:rRNA from 1 species